rnacentral:rRNA from 1 species
CCUACGGGAGGCAGCAGUGGGGAAUAUUGGACAAUGGGCGGAAGCCUGAUCCAGCCAUGCCGCGUGUGUGAAGAAGGCCUUUUGGUUGUAAAGCACUUUAAGCGAGGAGGAGGCUACUAGUAUUAAUACUACUGGAUAGUGGACGUUACUCGCAGAAUAAGCACCGGCUAACUCUGUGCCAGCAGCCGCGGUAAUACAGAGGGUGCGAGCGUUAAUCGGAUUUACUGGGCGUAAAGCGUGCGUAGGCGGCUGAUUAAGUCGGAUGUGAAAUCCCUGAGCUUAACUUAGGAAUUGCAUUCGAUACUGGUCAGCUAGAGUAUGGGAGAGGAUGGUAGAAUUCCAGGUGUAGCGGUGAAAUGCGUAGAGAUCUGGAGGAAUACCGAUGGCGAAGGCAGCCAUCUGGCCUAAUACUGACGCUGAGGUACGAAAGCAUGGGGAGCAAACAGGAUUAGAUACCCUGGUAGUCCAUGCCGUAAACGAUGUCUACUAGCCGUUGGGGUCUUUGAGACUUUAGUGGCGCAGCUAACGCGAUAAGUAGACCGCCUGGGGAGUACGGUCGCAAGACUAAAACUCAAAGGAAUUGACGG